GCGGAGGAGCUACUACUCUGUGCCCAGCUUAGAGAACUGGAAGGGACCGCCACGUUCCGCUGGCUGGAGAAUGGAUGGAGCCUGGAGCCCUGGAGCCUGGGACACUAUCUCGCUGCGGUUGGUGGUGGCGACAGAGUACUAGGAGGGCGGCCGGCAGUGGGAGCUUAUCCUGCCGGCUAGAAAACUAGAAGGAAGAGGCACUGCCACAUGCUGGAAGCUGGAGCCUGAGCAACCGCGGCUCACCUCGCUGUGGUUGGUGGUGACAUCAGAGACUGCAGCUCGGCCACAGUGGUGGAAAUGUGAUGGGGUAGCUGCUCCAAGCCAGGCUGAAGGAGGAGAAGGAGGAGUCGCCUGUGGUACGGUCCAAACUGCAGAUGACGUGGCUCUGCAGCUUGCUUGAUGCGGUUGGUGGUGGUGGUGGUGAUGGAGACCGCAGCUCAACCGGAGCGAGUACUGUCAUCUGCAUGAGCAAACCUGGUUCAUCACCACAUCUUUGCAAGAGGAAAAAGAAGGGGGGAUAAUUAUGUGUAUAAUGUUGUAAG
rnacentral:sRNA from 1 species